CGGGGCUCAAUGCCUUGUAAUUGGAAUGAUGGGAAUCUAAACCCCUUCCAGAGUAUCAAUUGGAGGGCAAGUCUGGUGCCAGCAGCCGCGGUAAUUCCAGCUCCAAUAGCGUAUAUUAAAAUUGUUGCAGUUAAAAAGCUCGUAGUUGAAUUUCUGCCGCUCCGACGAGACCCCACGGGCCCGACGCUGCGGCUUAUUUCGGACUUGCGUGCAUCUCCGAAUGUUUACUUUGAGAAAAUUAGAGUGCUCAAAGCAGGCCCUUGCCUUGAAUACUUUAGCAUGGAAUAAUAAAGUAGGACUUUGGUUCUAUUUUGUUGGUUUAGCACCAAAGUAAUGGUUAAUAGGAACAGUUGGGGGCAUUCGUAUUUAACUGUCAGAGGUGAAAUUCUUAGAUUUGUUAAAGACGAACCACUGCGAAAGCAUUUGCCAAGGAUGUUUUCAUUAAUCAAGAAC
rnacentral:rRNA from 1 species